UGCUGUCAAUCAGGCAUUCGGUCGAGCCUUUCCACUGUCUUUGUCUGUGUGCUUGUUGUCUGGAGAGCGGCACAGGCGCCGCAGCGUAUUGGGCAGAGGAAGAAACCUGUGACCGGCUCCUAUUGGCUGAACUGUUAGUUAACGAUUCUGAUUGGCUGGACCGGGCAACUGUGUCCUCUGGAGGAGCUCUCCCGGGCCGGGAGCUCUGGCCGGAGAGUGAUGGUGGCAGCGAUGGCAAUGGGCCGGGCAGGGACCAUGGAAGUGGUGGCAGAGGUGGCAGGAGUGGGGCAGCUGGCGGUGGAGAAGGCUGUGGUCUUCAGGGGUCUGUAGGUGGAGGCAUGGCUCGGGCCAGCAGCAGGAACAGCAGCGAAGAGGCCUGGGGGGCACUUCAGGCUCCGCAACAGCAGCUUCGAGAGCUGUGCCCAGGAGUGAAUACCCAGCCCUACCUCUGUGAGAGUGGCCAUUGCUGUGGGGAGACUGGCUGCUGCACCUACUACUAUGAACUCUGGUGGUUCUGGCUGCUUUGGACUGUCCUCAUCCUCUUUAGCUGUUGUUGUGCCUUCCGCCACCGAAGAGCUAAACUCAGGCUGCAACAGCAACAGCGGCAGCGUGAAAUCAACUUGUUGGCUUACCAUGGGGCGUGCCACGGGGCUGGCCCUGUUCCAACUGGUUCACUGCUUGACCUUCGUGAGUGACUUGGCUCUUGGGUGCAGAACCAGUAGCCCCUCCCAAGCCAGGACCCUCAACCGCACUUCUACUGGCAGACAUUUCAGAGCAUUUUCCCCUAAAAGGAGAGAUGGCUGUUCUAGCUCAGGUCCUUCAGUCAUCCAUGCUGUUCUCUCUCCCGCAGGCCUCCUCAGCGCCUUCAAACCCCCAGCCUAUGAGGAUGUGGUUCACCACCCAGGCACACCAC
rnacentral:lncRNA from 1 species